rnacentral:rRNA from 1 species
UACGUAGGGGGCAAGCGUUGUCCGGAUUUAUUGGGCGUAAAGAGCGUGUAGGCGGUUAGGUAGGUCCGUUGUGAAAACUCGAGGCUCAACCUCGAGACGCCGAUGGAAACCAUCUGACUAGAGUCCGGAAGAGGAGAGUGGAAUUCCUGGUGUAGCGGUGAAAUGCGCAGAUAUCAGGAGGAACACCUGUGGUGUAGACGGCUUUCUGGACCAUAGCUGACGCUGAGACACGAAAGCGUGGGUAGCAAACAGG